GACGAACGCUGGCGGCGUGCUUAACACAUGCAAGUCGAACGGUAAGGCCCUUCGGGGUACACGAGUGGCGAACGGGUGAGUAACACGUGGGUGAUCUGCCCUGCACUUCGGGAUAAGCCUGGGAAACUGGGUCUAAUACCGGAUAGGACCCUGGGAUGCAUGUCCUGGGGUGGAAAGCUUUUGCGGUGUGGGAUGGGCCCGCGGCCUAUCAGCUUGUUGGUGGGGUGAUGGCCUACCAAGGCGACGGCGGGUAGCCGGCCUGAGAGGGUGACCGGCCACAAUGGGACUGAGAUACGGCCCAGACUCCUGCGGGAGGCAGCAGUGGGGAAUAUUGCACAAUGGGCGCAAGCCUGAUGCAGCGACGCCGCGUGAGGGAUGACGGCCUUCGGGUUGUAAACCUCUUUCAGCACCGACGAAGCGCAAGUGACGGUAGGUGCAGAAGAAGGACCGGCCAACUACGUGCCAGCCGCCGCAGUAA
rnacentral:rRNA from 1 species